GCCAGUGUGGCACAGUGGUUUGAGUGUUGGAUUGCAACUCAGGAGACCAGGGUUUGAUUCCCCAUUCGGCCA